CCAGACUCCUACGGGAGGCAGCAGUGGGGAAUAUUGCACAAUGGGGGAAACCCUGAUGCAGCGACGCCGCGUGAGCGAUGAAGGCUUUCGAGUCGUAAAGCUCUGUCCUAUGGGAAGAUAAUGACGGUACCAUAGAAGAAAGCCCCGGCUAAUUACGUGCCAGCAGCCGCGGUAAUACGUAAGGGGCGAGCGUUGUCCGGAAUUAUUGGGCGUAAAGAGUGCGUAGGCGGCAAAUUAAGUCAGAUGUGAAAACUAAGGGCUCAACCCAUAGAUUGCAUCUGAAACUGAUAUGCUUGAGUCAAGGAGAGGAAAGUGGAAUUCCUAGUGUAGCGGUGGAAUGCGUAGAUAUUAGGAGGAAUACCGGUGGCGAAGGCGACUUUCUGGACUUGAACUGACGCUGAGGCACGAAAGCGUGGGGAGCAAACAGGAUUAGAUACCCUGGUAGUCCACGCCGUAAACGAUGAGUGCUAGGUGUCUGCUCAUACGAGUAGGUGCCGUACGUUAACACAUUAAGCACUCCGCCUGGGGAGUACGUACGCAAGUAUGAAACUCAAAGGAAUUGACGGGGGCCCGCACAAG
rnacentral:rRNA from 1 species